ensembl:lncRNA
CUCAAAAGAACACUCAACAUUAUGACAAAACAACUGGAACGUAACCACGGUGUAAUUUGAAGGAAAACAGGGGAGUUCCACCUAAAGUGGCAGAAGCUUUGCUAUCGUAUCUGGGUCAGAAGAACGCAACAUUCCCCAGCACACACACACCCACACAGCUGUGCUGUGGGUGUGAGGCAGCCGUAGUAGCAGGAGCUGUUCCACCCUAAUGUACUCCCUCCAGCGCUGCCAUAUGGAAAAAGGUACACCUUCUGUUUUGCUACAAUAACAAUCAUCACGGUCAUCAACGCUCACAAACACAGAUACUUUAACGGGAGAAGGGAAGGAGCAAAACCAAACAGGAACAAACACAGGCGGAUACAGAGAGGCAGAAUGAGGAGAGAGAAGCCGGGAAUCAGACGACAUUCUCUCUUGCUGCUGCAUCAUGAAUGUUUCCUCCAGUGUGAGACUGAGUGUGAGUGCGUGGUGUGCGUGCGUGCACGCCUCACUGUGUGUUUUGAUGACGGAGUCUGUGUAGCAGCUCGGGGAGUGAGUGAGUGAGCGAGCGGGCGAGCGAGCUACACAGCCAGGAGCAAGGUACGGCGAGAAGAAAUUGGCUUCUUCAUUACCUCGCCAAGUGUCUCCAAUCUCAUCCUCAACGGCUCUCCUUCUCCUCCUCGUCUGCUGCGAGCGGGUACGUCUCUCACAAAACACAUGUACUGCAGAUGGUGAUUUAUGAGGUGCACAGGGGCAGGGGGAUGGGAGGAGCAUCGAAGUGGGAGGGAUCCGUGGAGUUUGAAGAAGAGGAGGUGCUGAGGAGAGGGAGGAAGCAAUCAACACGCAGUGUAAAUCAGUCACUGAGCCGUUUGCUCGUCGCCGCCUUGCACGUAACCUCGCACUGGCCAAGCCAAUUCAAAGCUUACAUGUAGCACAACAUCGCUUCGGCUGUGUUAGGGAUCUUAUCUCUAGUGGAUUUGCAGCCAGUGGCAACGUGUCAACAUGUCAGGCCAGAAAUUCAAACACUAGUCUUCUCAGUGAUGUUGUCCUUGACUGGCUGUAAGAUGGAUGAGGUUUUUUUCUCUCCAAGGGAUUAAAACCCCAAUAGCCAUCAGAUGGUCUCCAUAGAUUGUAUAGAAGUCAUAUAGGGAGGAUGGACCUGAGUACUACUGUACAACACCACUGAAAAAGACCGGUAGCAUAUACAGAAUUUACUAAAUGGACAUUAUGGAAGAAGACUUGAAACCAGAAAUUGAAACCAUAAACCCAUUUGUAAAAUAUUUAACAUUCAAUAAAUGUUUCCCAUUGAUCUCAAUGCAAUCAGACUUCAUUUAGGCUCUUGGAAUAAAUGCAAGUGUAAAGAAUUUCUGCAUUAGUUUCACUUGCGAACACAGGGUCUGUUCCUGUUAUCAUCCCCUGGUACACAUAUUUUUCCAAAACAGUGUAAUUGUGCAUCCUUACACAUCUGUCAGUAUAGAUUUCACGGAGGGUACCUAUUCAUUCUCACAAACUAAGGACGUGUGACAUAAAGAAAUGAAGGAAGAGAUAUGCGUUCAGAUUAAAGAAACUACACUCGCUGCCCUUGGAAGUGCAUCUGGGAUGCUGUAUAAUUACGCUUCACCUCUGCGGUGAAGAGCUGUUUUCUUGCUCCUCCCAGCCCAUCAGCAAACUGCUAAAACAUUCCUCCUUGCUUCAAUCUUUUCAACAUGAUUAGCUCCUUGUUACCAGCAGGAGCUGAACAACAGGUUGUAUUGUGCCUGUUUACAAGGUUUUGGAUCAUUGAAUGUCUGCAUGAGAAAGAAGGCACAGUGGGAUAUAAAUACUGAGAUAAUAUCCUAAAUAUACCGUUCAACAAGAAAAAUGAAAAAGCUUUGUAAAUAUUAUUAGAAUAUUUUUUGAAAAAUGUCAUAGGAAAAGAAGUCAAAAAAAUAUUUUGAAAAUAAGUCAAUGUUGGUCGAAUAUAUUAUAUAUAUAUGUAUAUUAUAAAUAUAUUAUUUUAAAAAUGUCAUUGAAAAUAAAUGUAAAAAAUAUUAGGACGCUACGGUAACCAACGCAGGUUUUUUCGGGCGUAAGGAAUUGGAUGUGUGGCGGGAGUGCGUGACUAGUGAAAUGAGUGACUGUCACGCUCAAUGCGUGAGAGUCCUGCAGCUUAUGCUC